UACGGAAGGGGCAAGCGUUGUUCGGAAUCAUUGGGCGUAAAGGGCGCGUAGGUGGUUUUGUGUGUCUACCGUGAAAGCAUACAGCUCAACUGUAUUUUGUCGGUAGAAACUGCAGGACUUGAGGCUGGGAGGGGCUGGUGGAAUUCCCUGUGUAGCGGUGAAAUGCGUAGAGAUGGGGGAGAACACUCGUGGCGAAGGCGGCCAGCUAGACCAGUUCUGACACUGAGGCGCGACAGCGUGGGGAGCAAACAGG
rnacentral:rRNA from 1 species